rnacentral:rRNA from 1 species
AACCGCGGUUAUACGAAAGGCCUAAGUGGAUGGAUUGCGGCGUAAAGGGUGGUUAGGGAACCCUAUCACUAAAGUUAAACCCCCUCUUGGCAGUUUUAAGCUUAUGAGGAUGAGAAACUCACCCACGAAAGUGACUUUACCCUCCUGACCCCACGAAAGCUAGGGAG